rnacentral:rRNA from 1 species
CACCGCCGCGGGAAUACGAAGGGUGCAAGCGUUAAUCGGAAUUACUGGGCGUAAAGCGUGCGUAGGUGGUGGUUUAAGUCCGUUGUGAAAGCCCUGGGCUCAACCUGGGAAUUGCAGUGGAUACUGGGUCACUAGAGUGUGGUAGAGGAUAGUGGAAUUUCCGGUGUAGCAGUGAAAUGCGUAGAUAUGCGGAGGAACACCGAUGGCGAAGGCAGCCCCCUGGGCCAACACUGACGCUCAUGCACGAAAGCGUGGGGAGCAAACAGGAUUAGAUACCCCAGUAGUCCCUGUCUCUUAUACA